rnacentral:misc_RNA from 1 species
AAAGUCGUAACAAGGUUUCCGUAGGUGAACCUGCGGAAGGAUCAUUUUGAAUCACAGUGAAGGGUGAAGCUGUUGGAAUGGGGAGAGAGAUGAGAUUUGACAAAUUAGCCAUUAUAAUAAAAGUCACCACAAUGGAUCUCUAGGCUCUU